rnacentral:tRNA from 1 species
UAAAGUUCUUAUAGUUGAAUA